rnacentral:rRNA from 1 species
UACGAAGGGGACUAGCGUUGUUCGGAUUCACUGGGCGUAAAGGGUGCGUAGGUGGUUGGGUAAGUUUGAUGUGAAAUCUCCGGGCUUAACCCGGAAACUGCAUUGAAUACUAUCUGGCUAGAGGGUUGGAGGGGUGAGUGGAACUCCUGGUGGAGCGGUGAAAUGCGUAGAUAUCAGGAGGAACACCGGUGGCGAAAGCGGCUUUCUGGCUCAUUACUGACGUUCAGGUACGAAAGCGUGGGUAGCAAACAGG